CCUACGGGGGGCAGCAGUUUCGAAUCAUUCACAAUGGGGGAAACCCUGAUGGUGCGACGCCGCGUGGAGGAUGAAGGUCUUCGGAUUGUAAACUCCUGUCAAGGGGGACUAACCACAUGGCUCAUACCCAUGUCUGCAUUAACCCCUAGAGGAAGCAGUGGCUAACUCUGUGCCAGCAGCCGCGGUAAUACAGAGACUGCAAGCGUUACUCGGAUUCACUGGGCGUAAAGGGAGCGCAGGCGGAUCGGUGUGUUGGAUGUGAAAUCCCGGGGCUUAACUCCGGGGCUGCGUCCAAAACUGCCGAUCUAGAGAUUCGGAGGGGCUAGUGGAAUUCCUGGUGGAGCAGUGAAAUGCGUAGAUAUCAGGAGGAACACCAACGGCGAAGGCAGCUAGCUGGACGAAAUCUGACGCUCAGGCUCGAAAGUAUGGGGAGCAAAAAGGAUUAGAUACCCCGGUAGUC
rnacentral:rRNA from 1 species